CCAAUAGCGUAUAUUAAAGUUGUUGCAGUUCAAAAGCUCGUAGUUGAACUUCGGGGUUUACUCAUUGGUCAGGAUUAAUUGUCUGUACUGGUGAGAUGACUCUCUACCUUCUGAGGAACUUUCAUGCCAUUUAUUUGGUGUGGUUGGACAUCAGGACUGUUACUUUGAAAAAAUUAGAGUGUUUAAAGCAGGCUAACGUCUCAAUACUUUAGCAUGGAAUAAUGAACUAGGACGGAUUGAUUCUAUUUCGUUGGUUUCUAGGGUCACCGUAAUGAUUAAUAGGGAUAGUUGGGGGCAUUAGUAUUCAAUUGUCAGAGGUGAAAUUCUUGGAUUUAUUGAAGACUAACUACUGCGAAAGCAUUUGCCAAGGAUGUUUUCAUUAAUCAAGAACGAAAGUUAGGGGAUCGAAGACGAUCAGAUACCGUCGUAGUCUUAACCAUAAACUAUGCCGACUAGGGAUCGGACGCAGUUAAUUUUAUAAUGACGUGUUCGGCACCUUACG
rnacentral:rRNA from 1 species